AGGCAGCAGUGGGGAAUAUUGGACAAUGGGGGGAACCCUGAUCCAGCCAUGCCGCGUGUGUGAAGAAGGCCUUAUGGUUGUAAAGCACUUUAAGCGAGGAGGAGGCUUACCUGGUUAAUACCCAGGAUAAGUGGACGUUACUCGCAGAAUAAGCACCGGCUAACUCUGUGCCAGCAGCCGCGGUAA
rnacentral:rRNA from 1 species